AUGAAGCAGGUGGCAAAAGUGACUGUGCUCCUAAUCUUGGCCACGCGGAGCCUUGCUAAGACCACCCAGCCCCUCUCCAUGGACUCCUACGAAGGGCGAGAAGUGAAUGUGUCCUGCAGCCACGCAAACAUCGCUACAAGCGAGUACAUCUACUGGUACCGGCAGGUCCCCCAUGAGGGACCACACUUUAUUAUUCAAGGGUAUAAGGACAAUGUGGCAAAUGAAGUGGCUUCUCUGUUCGUCUCUGCCGACAGGAAGUUCAGCACUCUGAGCCUGCCCCCGGUUUCCCUGGCAGACAGUGCCCUGUACUACUGCAUCGUGGCUGACACACAGCGAGACAGCUGGGUCUGCACCUGUGCAGUAUCCUGUGGCGGGAUGGGAGUCACACUCUGCACAGAAGCACAGGCACGAGGCUUAGUUCCACCGUAUUUUCGUUUUUACAAGGUGUAA